GGGUUCUUCCAUUGCCUCCAGAACCCUAGCCCUCAAAUACCCCAGGUAAGUCAUGAAGCACAACAAUGUUAUUCCCAAUGGGCACUUCAAGAAGCAUUGGCAGAACUAUGUAAGGACAUGGUUCAACCAACCUGCUAGGAAAACAAGGAGACGUGCUGCUAGACAGCAGAAGGCUGUGAAGAUCUUCCCUAGGCCAACAGCUGGUUCACUUCGACCUAUUGUUCAUGGACAAACCCUUAAAUACAACAUGAAAGUCCGUGCUGGUAGGGGAUUCUCUCUUGAAGAACUGAAGGCAGCUGGUAUUCCCAAGAAGCUAGCACCAACCAUAGGCAUUGCUGUUGAUCAUCGCCGAAGGAACAGAUCCUUGGAAGGUCUCCAAACCAAUGUCCAGAGGCUUAAGACCUACAAGGCUAAGCUAGUUAUCUUCCCAAGGCGUGCUAAGAAGGUCAAGGCUGGUGAUUCUAGUGCAGAGGAACUUGCUACUGCCACCCAGGUCCAAGGUCCAUACCUGCCUAUUACUAGGGAGCAGCCUGCUGUUGACUUUGUGAAGGUGACCGAUGAGAUGAAAUCAUUCAAGGCCUAUGGCAAGCUCCGUAUUGAGCGUACAAAUGCUCGACAUAUGGGAGCCAGGUUGAAGAGGGCAGCUGAAGCAGAAAAGGAAGAGAAGAAAUAAGCAAUUAAGAGUCAUUCUGUAGUCUGUUAAGCAUUAUCAACUUUCUGGUAGGCGUUGUGGUGAAAGUUUUAUCAUACAAUCAUUUUGAGGAACUUGUGUUUUUCAUUUUAUUUGAGGAUUUUGUUUUGUUUGUGAAAUUAUGCAAAUCUUUUGAUUAGCGCAAGACCUGUUCCUCUUCUGUUUCUG
rnacentral:misc_RNA from 1 species